UUAUUAAAAAAAUACAUAUAAUUAUAUACAUUUACAUAAAUGGGUACUAUGCUCCCGCCUAUCUCUACCUGUGCUACCCAACUUCUCAAAGUUGUUAACGUAAUUUUGUUUAAGACAAUCUAUGACUUUCUCCCUGCAGAACCCUUCCUGUGCCUGCUGCUGGUAGCGUCACAAAGCAAUUUCUUUCUGGAUCUACAGGUAUUUUAAUUUAA